GAUGAACGCUAGCGGCAGGCCUAAUACAUGCAAGUCGAACGGUGUCUUCGGACAUAGUGGCGCACGGGUGCGUAACACGUGUGCAACCUACCUUACAUUGGGGGAUAGCCUUUCGAAAGGGAGAUUAAUACCGCAUAAGACAGUAGCUGGGCAUCCAACAGCUGUUAAAGAUUUAUCGAUGUAAGCUGGGCAUGCGUCCAAUUAGCUAGUUGGUGAGGUAACGGCUCACCAAGGCAAUGAUUGGUAGGGGAACUGAGAGGUCAAUCCCCCACACUGGCACUGAGAUACGGGCCAGACUCCUACGGGAGGCAGCAGUAGGGAAUAUUGGGCAAUGGACGCAAGUCUGACCCAGCCAUGCCGCGUGCAGGAUGAAGGCGUUAUGCGUUGUAAACUGCUUUUAUACAGGAAGAAACGACUCUUGCGAGAGGCAUUGACGGUACUGUAUGAAUAAGCACCGGCUAACUCCGUGCCAGCCGCCGCCGUAAGAC
rnacentral:rRNA from 1 species